CGCCGGGAGCGCGCCGGGCCGGGCCGAGGUCACACUAGCGCGACCGCCGUUUCCUGGUGCGCGCGUGGAGGGCGCAGGGUGACGCAGGCUCCUCCACGGUGCCACCGACGCGCGGUGGUGGGAGCCAGGGCACGGGUUGGGUUCGAAUCCAGCCAGCCGCUUUACGGUGGAAACCUGCCUCCCUGCCCCCAGUUAGACUAAAUUUAAGUGAGGGUCCAGCCCUGGGGGUUUGUGCAUUUUGUUCUUGAGAUGGCAGACUCUGUAUCGUCAGGGCGCGUUUUAUUUUCCUGCUCUUGUCCAUUUGUGGCACCAGACAACUUCAGGGACUACUAGGAAAAGAUGGGUGUGGGUGUAUGUUACCUAACCAUAUUCUGUUAGGUAACUAGAUAGGUUCUGAGAAACAUUGAGAGUAGACUCCCUCGUGGUUAACUCUGCGUUCUAUCUCCUGUUUCCCUGGUGACGUGAGAAAGGAAAAGCUAACAACUGCACCUCCUUAGGCCUCCUGGCCAAAAUGAAAUAUCCCUGCUCUAGGUGGAGACUUGGCAUCUCGAUCUGCUCCAAAGAUUUUAACAUUACAUACUAUUAUAUCCUCCGUUAAGCUGGCCAAGAGUCCACUCCCAGGAAAUCUGAUUUAUUUGGAGACACGUUAAAGAGGGCUUCUUACUGAACCCAGACUUCACUGCUUGUCUAGACUGACUGGCCACAGAGACCUUAAGAUCCUCCUGACUACUUCCGUGGUGCUGGGACUCCAAGGACACGCUACCAUAUUGGCUUUUACAUGGUUGCUGUGGAUCUGAACUCUUUGAUAAAUUCUAGCUUUGGCUAGAGAUGUGGCUCAGUUGUUCACCCUGGCUUUGAUCUCCAGCACCUUCUACGUUAUAUGUGUGGCACAUACCUAUACUCCCAUCACUGAGGAAGUGGAAACAGAAGAAUCAGAGAUUCAAGGUCAUGUACAGCAAUGUAGUGAGUCUGAAGCUUGCUUGUGACUACAUGAGACCCCAAACCAAAAAAUAAUAAACUUCAAUUCUG